AUAGGGGGAUGACUGUAACUUUAAGUAGGGCCGCCACAUUUUAUUUAGCAAAUAAAAAUGCAGGAUACCCAAUUACAUUUGUAUUUCAGUUAAAAACCAUAAUUUUUUAGUGUAAGUAUGUACCAAAUAUUGAUUAUCUGCAAUUCAAAUUUAACUAUUUUAUCCAGCAACCCUGUUUUAUGGCACUGUUUGGAGGCAAUGCAUACAUAGUCCUUAUAACGGUGCAUGCCACAAGCAAGCACACAGUAAAGCUUAUUUAUAUGAAAAGGCCAACUCUCCCCUCCCCCGAAAAUAUUAGUGUUUCUCGUUAUCUGGCUGUACUAUCUCAAAUGGCCAGCCUUAGACAGUCACUCUAUAUCAUAAAAGGUCAGUUUAAAUCCCCCACCAUCCCACUGCAGUAUAGUGACCCCCUUCCUUUCCACUAUCACAAAGUGCUAGAGUUCCCCUGCCUCCCAGCUCUCUCGGCACAUACAUGUAUGGAUUUUCAUGUUCUUAAUAAUGUUUGUGCUGUCACUGGACACAGGUGUGUGUUGGGGGAGGGGGUUGGGGAAGUCUGAUGCAUUAUGAUGCUGGAGCCAGUGACACUCUUUCUAUGAGAAAUGUAACUAGAGUCAGUCUCUUCUAGAAUUAGGGGCAUGUAACCCUCUGUGGAGGACAAAGGUGUGUGAGUCAGAAGGGAAUGCGAAGUGAAUGGGGAAAUGUAUGCUGUUGUAUGAUCAUAGCAGGUUUUCCCAGCCAGAAGAAUGUGUGGUGCUGGUCCCACUGAGCUCAUUAAGACAAAUGCCACAUAUGGGAUAAAACUUUGUUCAGUCUGAGAAGUCUAAAAGGGGGGAGAACAUUGAAGUUGCAGAACCUAGGAUUAUAAUUGUUCUACAAUCCAAGAUGUCUAUAAAGGGCUGGAAUAUCACUAGGAAAUCGUCUUCGCCCAGAUUUAUUCCUGAGUGGGAAGACUUGAAAGUCCUUAUAAAAAAGAUCCUGAAGGACAAAAAGACUGAUGCAGAACCAAAGAAUCAUGUGGUUGUACUGAGUGACUGGCCUGAGAAUCUAUAUGAGGACUCUCACCAUCCCCAGAACAAGCCUUUUAUUUGCUUUUACUCCAUCAGUGUCAACUAUUUCAUCUCCUUAAACUGGGUGGAACCAUAUGAAACACAAAUACAGGUAAAGAUACUUCAUUCCCUCCCCCUUUCUUAAUCCAAUUUCAAUGCAUCAUACCUAAAUGUCCGCAUUUUACAAUGAUAGGGAUGACUCUGUAUUAGAUCAUUUUAGUCCAUCUCCAAAUCCUAAUUUGGCCUGAAUGCAGUGAUCCUUUUUCACCUCUAGUUAUCAGACCCACAGAAUUCAUUUUCCCCACAAAGUAAGCUGAAGGCCAAGAAAAGGGCCCAACUCCUAGUCUCCCAUAGCCAUGGGGGAUAUGUUUCAAGACACACAGUGGAUGCCUGAAACUGCAGAUAGUACCAAACUUGAUUGUCAUCAGUCAGAAAGUGUUUCUGUUCAUGUCUUCCCACCCACAAAUUUAAUGUUUUUUCCAUCUCCACUAAGCACUUAUCAUGCACUGUGGCCAUAACUUUUGCAGUUUGAGGUAUGAUAGCAAAACUAGUACAAAUGUCUUUUUCCUUCUUCACAAUUUCAUGGACAGAAAAACUGUUCUUACUAUAGAUCUAAACCUCAGAAUACAGUUUUUUCUUUACCUAAGUUGAGAGUUUUCCACUUUUCACUUAAAGGAAGCACUUUAUGGCUUCUUUUUGGCAUAUGUAAAUUGCCAGCAUCACUAGUCUUGUGCUUUGGGGCCACUGAGUAAAAUAAGGGUCACUGGAACAUAAGCACAGAUACUGUGAUAAACUGAUAACUGAGAUGGCUUAAGUGACUAACAGAUGGACAAAGGGAUGAUUCAAGUCCUGGGCAGGACAGAAUCGGACUGUGUGAGAUUUGAUCAUGCUACUCAGAAUGGCAUGCAAUUUAAA